UUGUAUUCGCUGCGUUAGCAGUGAAUACAGUUCUAUCACAAUUUGCGGGAUUGCAAUAGAAGAAUGGGUACCGAACAACGCAAAGUAGUUCUACACAGAUUUUCUUGUCACACACAAGUGAUAAGAUUUUGAAUUGUCAGUAGUUCAUUUUUGAUUGUGUUAUUUCUAUCGUAUAUUAUUUGCAUGUUUUCAGGAUAUAAUCAGUAAAAAAUAUCAUUAGUAUUCAUUCGCGUUAACUUUGCGUAAGGAAGUAGUUCGUACCAAAACAAAGUUUUCGACGUGAAAGCUGAUCUCAUCAUUUUCUAAAAGUAGGUACAGAAAACUUACCAAUAUUAUUUGAACUUAAUUUUAUUCUGUUUUGGAAUUCUUAUUUGGAUUUCAUGAUGCGUAACAGUGUUGAUAAUUCAGGUGUCUUGAUAUAUUUUUUUUUGUUGUUUGAGUUGUUUCCCUUGUUUUCCCGCAAUAUCACUAGUUUUGUCUAUGUUUAAGCGGCUUUGUUUGUAAAAAGUUCAAAGUGUUCUUAAUUUAUUGGAAAUAUGGAUUAUUGAUAGUUGAAGUUACAGCAGAGAGAGAGAGAGAGAGUUUGACAGUAUGCGUGUUUGAAGAAGAUAAUGCUUUUAUUGGUACAUUCAAUUCCACAAACUGAGUGUUGAUUUCCUCGAUUUCAUUGACUCGAUGAUUCAUUCUUUGAUUUCUAAUGAUCAAUCAACUUAUUGAUUUACUGAUUGAUUGGACAUGUCAUGGAGCUUAAUAUAGAUGGAGAAGUAACUUAGACGUCAUACAGUUAAAUUCAGUAUUAUUGGGGUUGUUCUAGUGCAAGUUAUCAUGUGUUUCGGGAUUUUCCAAGAUUUGAUGCAUCCUGGGUAAUAGUAGCCAAAAUACCGCCAUAUUCAAUUCCAAGAGGAACAUUGACAAAAAAAGACGAAGCAUUUUCUACUUACAUAAGAAGCAAUAGUUAUUUAUGUUAAAACGUACCCUACACACUUUUCCACACAGAUAUUUUUUUUACUUGAA